UACGUAGGGUGCGAGCGUUGUCCGGAAUUCUUGGGCGUAAAGGGCUCGUAGGCGGUUUGUCGCGUCGGGAGUGAAAACCAGGUGCUUAACACCUGGCUUGCUUUCGAUACGGGCAGACUAGAGGUAUUCAGGGGAGAACGGAAUUCCUGGUGUAGCGGUGAAAUGCGCAGAUAUCAGGAGGAACACCGGUGGCGAAGGCGGUUCUCUGGGAAUGACCUGACGCUGAGGAGCGAAAGUGUGGGGAGCGAACAGG
rnacentral:rRNA from 1 species